rnacentral:tRNA from 1 species
GGAGACGUGGCCGAGUGGUCGAAGGCGCUCCCCUGCUAAGGGAGUAACGUUAACGCGUUCGAGGGUUCGAAUCCCUUCGUCUCCGCCA